rnacentral:miRNA from 1 species
GCUGAUCAGAGGAUAAAUUUGAUAUACGGUGAUUUAUUCAAGUUAUUAAAGUAAAUCAAUAAAUCACCGUAUAUCAAAUUUAUCCUCUGAUCAGC